GUAAUGAAAACACUUGCGGUUCUUAAUGAUAUUAAGACAAAUUCUGCAUCGGAUUUAAAAACAGUUCAGUAUGUUUCGCUGUAUAUGUUACAUAACGGUUUUAAACUUACACCCUAUCAUAUUAUAGAAUUGACAAACAAACAAUUAUUAACUAUAUACACGGUGUUGGCAGUUUUUUUAGUGUUUCAACUUCAAAUGAAUCUAUUGGAUAUCAGAGAAAUAUAUUUUUUUAGUUUUUAAAAGAUUUGAUAUCAAAAUAACAAUUU